GAUGAACGCUGGCGGCGUGCUUAUGACAUGCAAGUCGAACGAAGAGCUUGUAGCAAUACGGGCUCUGAGUGGCGAAUGGGUGCGUAACACGUAGGUGACCUGCCCUGAAGUGGGGAAUAACAGUCCGAAAGGACUGCUAAUACCCCAUGUGGUCCUGGAGGUUAGAGGCUCCAGGUCUAAAGCAGCAAUGCGCUUCAGGAGGGCCUGCGGCCCAUCAGCUAGUUGGCA
rnacentral:rRNA from 1 species